UGUAUGUGGAUCCGUGUGUUAGUGUUGUUUGCCCUCCCUGCCAGUGGGAGGCGCUGCUCCUGAUGUGUCAGUUUUUCAGGUGGUGAUUGGAGGAUGGCGAUUGGCCACAGACUGAUCAGCCUGGAUAUAAAAAGGAGGACUGCUGAUGGUGUCGCCAUUUAUGCUCUUCCUGACCGACCAUGCUGUGCUUUGUUAGACUUUGUGUUAUCGAGUGACUGAAUGAUUGUUUGUCAGAUAUUGUUCAGAUAACCUUUUGAAUUGAGCAGUCCUGGUAUUAUAGGGCUAGACGCUGCUGGUUGAGAAGAACCAGGUCUCUGGUGACGUCAUGCUGGGCCAGGUCAGCCAGGUGCAGGCCGACAUCUUGAAGUUCCUGGAGGCUCCUUAGUUUUGGAGAACAUAGAGGCAGAUUAUGAGGCAACAUUUGGGCCCCUGGACACAGACAUGGAUAAAAUGCCUCCAUCCUUCCCACAGAGAAGAAAGACACCGGACUGGUACAAUAUGGUGCAGGCCCUUCCUGUCAGAGUAGUAGUGAAGAAGCAUCUUCCCGUCUCCUGUCAUCUCAACUCGGAAAGACGGAGCAUUCAUUUCCUACGAAAACCGAAGUGAUGAGUCUGAUUCAAUUCAAGUUACAUUUUAAAAACUCUCUUAAAAAAACAUGAAACUCCUGCACAUCAGGGAUUAUGACAACCUCAUGUCCAAAGCUCUGCACAUUUUGUAAAAAAAUAAUGCACUUCACAAGAUAUAGGAAUCUAACAAGGAGGAAACCUGUGAAUCGCUUCACUCAUUUUAAUGGAGGCUGCAUCAUGCAACAAGCAGCCCAAGUAGCAUUUGCAGGAAAAAGCCAGAGGUUGGAUGAACACUGCAUUUAAAUUGUUUCGC